UUAAUUUCCAGUAGUUCCUUGUCACAAAAAUAGUUGAUUUGCUGAGCUGAAGGAAAAGAUUGAUCGUCGUUCUGGAAAGAAGUUGGAAGAUGGCCCUAAAUUCUUGAAAUCUGGUGAUGCUGCCAUUGUUGAUAUGGUUCCCGGCAAGCCCAUGUGUGUUGAGAGCUUCUCUGACUAUCCUCCUCUGGGUCGUUUCGCUGUCCAUGAUAUGAGACAGACGGUUGCUGUGGGUGUGAUCAAAGCAGUGGACAAGAAGGCUGCUGGAGCUGGCAAGGUCACCAAGUCUGCCCAGAAAGCUCAGAAGGCUAAAUGAAUAUUACCCCUAAUACCUGCCACCCCAGUCUUAAUCAGUGGUAGAAGAACGGUCUCAGAACUGUUUGUCUCAAUUGGCCAUUUAAGUUUAAUAGUAAAAGACUGGUUAAUGAUAACAAUGCAUCGUAAAACCUUCAGAAGGAAAGGAGAAUGUUUUGUGGACCAUUUUUUUUGUGCAUGGCAGUUUUAAGUUAUUAGUUUUUAAAAUCAGUACUUUUUAAUGGAAACAACUUGACCAAAAAUCUAUCACAGAAUUUUGAGACCCAUUAAAACAAAGUUUAAUGAGAAAAAAAAAGUUGAUUUUUAAAAUUCAUUUGUUUAUUUGAAAGGCAGAGUUUACAGAGAGAUGGAGGGAAAUGGGGAAGGUAGAGAGCUUCCACCAGUUCACUCCCCAAAUGGCCACAACAGCUGGAGCUAGGCCAGUCUGAAGCCAGGAGUUGGGAGCUUCUUCCUGGUCUCCCAUGCGGGUACAGGGGCCCAAGGACUUAGACCAUCUUCCGCUGCUUUCCCAGGCACAUUAGCAGGGAGCCAUAUUGGAAGUGGAGCAGCCAGGACUCAAACCACCACCCAUGUGGGACACCAGCAUAGCAGGUGGAGGCUUUACCUGCUACACCACAAUGCUCACCCCCAGUAGUUGAUUUUUGUAUAUAGCUCUCAUAUCCUUUGACUUUCUUAACCUCAUGUAUUCUAGUAGUUUAAAAUUCUUUUUGUUAAUAUAAAGAGAAUAGAUGUUAUGUAUUACAUAGGUACAGUUCUAAGAAGGUAAACAUACUUCCCUCCCUCCACUUUUCCCUCCAUCAGUCCCCUCCUUCCUUUAUUUUUUUCUUUAAUCUUUGCAGAUGCAUGCUUUCAAUCCACUCUGUAGUCAUAGGCUUAAUUCACACUAACCAUAAUAUUCAACAAGUAAAAAAUAGGAAGACCAGAGUUCUACAAUAGUAUAAACAAGGGCUAAAAGCAACAAUCAUAUCACAAGAUGUUUGUUUCAUUCCUAUAAAUUUUUGAUAUUCUAUAUUAACAACCACAUAUCAGAGAAAACAUGAUAUUUGUCUUUUUCAGACUGGCUUAGUUCACUAAGCAUGAUGGUUUCUAGUUGCAUCCAUUCUGUUGUGAAAGGCAGGAUCUCAUUCUUUUUUAUGGCUGAGCACCAUUUCAUAGUGUACACACACACACACACACACACACACAUAUCACAUUUUCUUUAUCCAGUCAUCAGUUGAUGGAUAUCUGUAUUGAUUCUAGUAGUUUUAUACUUUGGGAUUAUCUGCACCAAAAAUUUUAGCAUCUGAGUGAAAACAGUUUUCUUUGUUUUUUCCUAUUUGUCUUUUAUUUUUACUUGCCUUGCUGUUAUGGUGACUAGAAACUCCAGUAACUACUGAAUAGGAGUAUCUUGUUCCUAGUCUUAGAGGUAGAAUAUUGUCUUUUACCAUUAAAUAUGAUGCUAGAGUAGUUUUUUUUUUAGCUUUGUUAUUUUAAGUUUAAUUUCACUUUAUUGGAGAGAGAGAGAGAGAGACAGGUACCCAUCUUCCAUCUCCUAGUUUACUCCUCAAGUGCUCACAACAGUAGGAGUGGGUCAGACUGAAGCCAGGAGCGUGAAACUCAAGCUAAGUAAACUCAAGCUGAGUCUCUCAUAUGGGAGGCAGGAACCCGAGUACUUGAGCCAUUAUCUGUUUAUUAUCAAUCAUAUUUAUAUCAUGACUAGAUGUUGAAUUUUGUUAGGAACUUUAUCAGCAUCUAUUGAGAUAAUUAUGUUUUAUUUCUUGAUGUGGUAAAUUAUAUUGCUUUUUGACCACUGAACGAGCCUUGCUUUUCUAGGAUCAACCUCAUUUGUUGAGGAUGUUUCAUUUUUAUAUAUUGAUGAAAUUGAGUCUCAGAUACAUUUAUUAAGGACUUUUGUAUCUUUGUGAGGGAUGUUAAGCUGUGGUCUUUUCUAUAUUUGUUAAGAUCAGGAUAAUGCUAGUCUUAUUUGAUUUAAUUAAUUUCUAAUUUAAUUGGGUUGAUUUUUAUUUUCUUUAAGAGAAUGUAUCAAACUGAUACAUGUUGAUCCUUUAAAUGUUGGAAGAACUUGCUGAUAAAAUAUCUAAAGCCUUAGGUAUUUGUUUCAUGGGAAGUUUUAAAUUAUGGAUUCAUUUUCAUUAGUAGUCAAUAGGUUUGCUUAGGUCAUCUACUUCAUUUUUGAAGAGUUUGGAGAGUUUAUGGUUAUUAAGGAAUUUCUCCAUUUUAUAUAAGUUGUCAAAUUUGUAUACAUGGAGCCAUUAACAGUAUUACUACCUUAUUUACUCUUACCAUCUUAAAUGUCAGUAGUAAUAUUCCUGCUUUCAUUCCUGGUAUAUGUCUUGAUUUGUACUUUCCAUCUUUUUUUUUUGACACUGAAACUACUGAAAACUAUUUUUACACUGGAAGUUGUUGAAGCAUUCUGUAUCUUUUUGCAUCCAAUUUGGUGGUAUAAUUCUAGCAAUUCUCAGAAAAAUAAACCUUCCAUCUUUUUUUGCCUUUUGGCAGUUUUUCACAGGAAUAUUUAUUAGUUUCAUUGAUUUCUCUAUUUUUAAUUAAUUUCCACUGCAUUGUUUUCUUUCUGUUUUUUCUAGCUUUACUUUGCACCAGUUACUGAUUUGACUUUUGUUUCAAUGGAAGCCAUCUGUACCACAAUUUUGCCUCUAAGCACUGUUGCAUCCCACAAAUUUAGAAACAUGAUGUCUUCAUUUUCCUGCAGUUCAAAAUAUUUUCUUACUCACUUUGACAUUUAUCCAUGGAUAAUUUAGAGCUGUUUACUUUUCAAAUGGUUAGAGAUUAUCCUUCUGUUACUGAUUUUUAGUUAACUUGCCUUAUAUUUGGAGAGCACGUUUAUUUUCUUUUUUAAAAAGUUUAUUUGAAAAGCAGAGACAGAAAGAGAGACAGACAUACAGAGUUCUCCCAUCUACUAGUUCAUGCUCAGUUCUCCCAUGUUGGGGGCAGGACCCAACCACUUGAACCAAUCACCUGCUGCCUUUUAGGUUGUGCAAGAGUGAAAACCUGAAAUUGAGGGUGGAGCCAGAACAAAAACUUACUUGCUCUGAUAUGGAUAUGGACAUAUAUUUUUAUUGGACAGGCAGAGACAGAGACAGAGAUCAUCCAUCUACUGUUUGAUUUCCCAAGUGACUGCAACCGCUGGUACUGGGUCAGGCCAGAACAGAGAGCCAGGAGUCAGGAACUCAGUCCAGGUCUCCCAUGUGGGUGCCAGGGGUCCAAGUACUUGAGCCAACACCUGCUGCCUCUCAGAGUGGGCAUUUGCAGCAACUUGGAAUUAGAAGCCAAGCUGGGACUUGAACCCAGGUACUCAUCUAUGGGAUGCAGGUGUUCUGAGCAGUGUCUUAAUUGCUGUGCCAAAUGCCAGCCCCAGCCUGCCCUUUUUCUGUUCUUUUAAAUCGAGUUUCUUAAAUCUGUAGGUUCAUGUCUUUUACCAAAUUUGGGAUAAGUUCAGUUUUAUUUAUUCAAAUAUCUUUUCUGCCCUACACCCUUCCUUCUGUGACUUUAAUGACAAAAAAGUAAAAUCUAUUAAUUGUCCCACAGAUCCUUGAAUGGACUAUGUUAAUUUCUUUUCUUUUCAUCAAUCUUUUUUCUGUUUAUCAUUCAGAUUGAUUGGUUUCUGUUGAUCUGUGGCCAAGUUAAACCUAUUAUCUCAAAUAUUGGUAUUUAGAUUGAUCUCAUGUUUUUAAAAAUUGUGGUUAUUGAAUCUUUCCAGUUCUAAAAUUUCCAUUUCAUUCUGCCUUUUUUUUUUUUUUUUUUUUUUUUUUACAGGCGGAGUGGACAGUGAGAGAGAGAGACAGAGAGAAAGGUCUUCCUUUGCCAUUGGUUCAUCCUCCAAUGGGUGCCGUGGCUGGCACGCUGCGCUGAUCUGAAGGCAGGAGCCAGGUGCUUCUCCUGGUCUCCCAUGGGGUGCAGGGCCCAAGCACUUGGGCCAUCCUCCACUGCACUCCCGGGCCACAGCAGAGAGCUGGCCUGGAAGAGGGGCAACCGGGACAGAAUCCAGUGCCCCGACCGGGACUAGAACCCAGUGUGCCGGCGCCGCAAGGUGGAGGAUUAGCCUAUUGAGCUGUGAUGCCAGCCUUCAUUUUUCUUUAAAUGUGCUUUUCCUUGAUAAGACUCUCCCCUCCACCUCAGGUGUUUGCCCUUACUUUUUGGAGAUUUUUUUGGUGCAUUCUCUUAAAAUCUUUUCCUAUGAACUAACUUCUGUGUCAUUUUUCCAUUGGUGUCUGCUGUGCGUGAAUUGAGGUUUCUCCCUAGGUGUUGAGUAAGUUUGAAUCGUGUCUUAAACACUUGAACAGUGUUAUGAGAUUCUAGAUCUUGUUUAAAACCUGUGGAGAAUACUGAGUUUCAGACCGCUAGGUUUAACCAGCUGCCUUUGGAUUGUGGUUUCAGUGGCACUUCUGCUUCCAAAGCCUUGCUGUGCCGUGCUGUUCAGAUCUGUUUCGAGUGUGUUCCUGCCAGAGGCUGGUUUCCGACCUGGUCAUUGGUCAUCAUUUAUUUUUCAGUCUUUGCAGUGCUAUUUAGCAGCAAGUAAGUGCUGCUCAGGUGUGGCCCCUGGAAUCGCCAUACAGGUUCAUGGAAUCACUUUCCUGAGUCCUGGUGGUUGACCGUUUUCCUGUUAUCUUCUGUUGUGUUGGGCCCCUUUUUUCUUUUCUUCCACCUCUAAGACUGAUUUUUCAUUUUUCCUGUUCUGUUAUAUACUUCCUAAAACUAAUGCAAAGCAGUGCAUGUUUGCAUUGUCUGUGAUUCUGUGGAGUUCCUGCUGUCCAGUGCCAGGUGUACCAGUCUUUUGCAUUCAUUUGAGAGGCAGAGAGGAAAAGAGAGGGGGAGAGAGAGAAAGUGAGAGAGUUUUUGUCUGUGUUGUUCCCCAACUGUCCACAAUGGCCUAAGCUGGGGCCAAAGCUCAGAGUUGGUAAUUCAGUCCCUGUCUCUCAUGGGGGUGGCAGAAACUAAUCAGUUGAGACAUUACUGUUGCCUGCCCCAGAAGUUUGGUUAUCAAACUCAGGUACUCAAAUAUGGGAUGCAGGCAUUUUAACUAAUAGCAUAGCUGCUAGGCUGAGCGCAUGCCCCAGAUAUACCAGUCUUAACUGUAGACCCUGAAAUGUCCAUGCAUGUGGUUUACGUGCUCACCAGUCAGUGCAGACGGAACAUUUCCAGCUUCCUGGUAAGUUCCCUCAUGUUCCCCCUCUCCCUGCAUCAGCCGCUCUUCUGAUUUCUAGCACCAUGUCUGUUCUCAGACUUGACAUAAACAGAUCCUGAAAAGGGUGUUCUCACGUAUCUAGUAUUUUAGUCAAGGGAUUUUGUGGCCCAGCCUGGUGUAUUAUUUAAUAUGACUGUUUCAGACUCUGUUACACUCAAAACACCUAAACCAAAGCAGAUUCAGUUUUUUAAUUUAUAUUUUUCUUAGCUGUGAAAGUCUUAAAAUUCUUUGAAAUUUUCCAUAUUCCUUUUCCCAGUCAUUCAGUGAGUGUCUCCCUCAUUCAUUUACACUGUGUCUGUUACUUAUUCUCACAGGUUCAUCUUCUCCCAACUUCCUUUUCCUUCUUCCACAUUUCCUUCUGCCAGCACAGAGAUGAAAAGGAGAGUAAUAACUUCUUAUAUCCUAUUUGUUCUUUGCCAUGCUAACAUGUAGUUUGGGAAAAUUCAGGUUGAACCGAGUGUCUGUAGUUAGGGUACUAAUGGGGUGUUUUUCUCCCUUCUUUCUGACAGCAUGAUGGAAGUGGUUCAUUACAUGACAUUCAACUAUAAUUGCCAUCCAGUCCAGAACCAGAAGAUGGUAAUCAAAUAUGUAAGAAUGAAGAUUAAUUAAAUGAAAUUAAACAACUUAAAGAAGAAAGAAAGAAAAAAGAUGAAAAAAUCCAACUAUUAGAACAUCAGCUUGCAACUUGGUGUAACUGCCACCAAAAAUCUAAAGAGGAAAAAUGCACUUACACUGACAAAUACACCCAGACUCCCUGGAGAAGAAUUCCUGGUGUCAGUGCCGCCACCACACUCAGGCCUUGAAGAAUGGGGAGGUGACCAGGACCCACUGGGUCAGGCACGGUGUGCAGCAGGGAUGUGGAGAGAAUGGCUGAGGUCCUGCAGCCACAGGCCAUGUCCUGGUGGUGACCCUGAAUGAGACCAGCCAGGAGAGCUGACAGAGGAAAGAGCACAAGUCUGAGUUGCAGGCAGAGGUAGGUUUGCAUUCUGUCUGUCACUGUUACUGGAUGUUACCCACACCUUCUGGGCCUCAGUAUUCUCAUCUGAAAUAUGGGCUGAUAAAUAAGAGCCUCCAAGCACUGCACUGAAAACAUCAAGUAAGGCACCAUGGAACAGAUAGCAUAGACGGUGUAAAAAGUAAAUAUACGGGGCCGGCACUGUGGCACAGCCCAUAUGGGCACCGGUUCAAGUCCCGGCUAUUCCACUUCCGAUCCAGCUCUCUGCUAUGGCCUGGGAAAGCAGUAGAAGAUGGCCCAACUCCUUGGGCCCCUGCACCUGCAUGGGAGACCCGGAAGAAGCUUCUGGUUCCUGGCUUCAGAUCAGCACAGCUCUGGCCAUUGUGGCCAACUGGGGAGUGAACCAGCGGAUGGAAGACCUCUCUCUGUCUCUACCUCUCUCUGCCUCUCCUCUCUCUGUGUA